rnacentral:lncRNA from 1 species
CUUCAGGCAAAAAUACUGGAGUGGGUAGCUAUUUCCUUCUCCAGGGGAUCUUUCUGAUCCAGGGAUCAAACCCUUGUCUCCUGCGUUGAAGGUGGAUUCUUUACUGUCUGAACCACUAGGGAAGCCCUAAAAUUAAAUCUAGUAGCUAAGAAAAGAAAUUAUACGCAAAAGUCAACUCCACUUGAUUCUCACCCCAGGCCAGUUGAGGGUAGGCUGCUCCAGCACACGGGCUUUGACUGGCGGGAAGAUGCUCUUCCAUAAAUGCUGGUGGGCUGCCUCCCUCUCCCCCAUUCCCUUCAACAGGUGGCUGGACUUGGAAAGGAAACAGCUCUCUGGCUCAGCAGAAUGCUCUGCGUGGGUAUCCAAUUGUUUUUACUACAAUUUAUUUACAUGUACAAUUAUUUAAUGUACAAUUUAUUACAAAUAAAUAUCGGUGUAUUUAUUGCACUCAGACUGCAUCCAGGGACUCUUUGUGGCUCUGGCAACACAGUGAUGAACAAACAGACACAGGCAUGGUCUUCAAGGGGCUUCCUUGCAUGCGCGGUAUUAUAGUCAGGCAAACAAAUAUCUAACCUAUGACAAUGAAGCCGUGACCAAAAGUAACAAGGCACUCAGCCGGUCAGAGAGUGACGGGAGCUGCAUUUUCAGAUGGGUGGUCAGAAAGGGUCUCUUUGUUUAGGAGAAUUGAAGGAAGCGCAGGAGGAAACCAUGCAGAAGGGCAGAGGGGCUGAAGUAAGAGCAAAGGCCCUGAACUUUCACUUAAUGCUACUUCCUUCCAUCUUUAGACCAGCCCUGCAAAUCGAUACAUAUUAUGCCCUCCAUUGGAGGACAGAAAAAAGGGAAGCCCAGCAAGACGAGGAACUUUCUCCAAAAUGCAGCCAGGGUGGGGCCAGGAUCAAGUUCAUCUUCUCUGACUCUGAAGACGGUGCUGUGAACUCAGGGGGCUGUGUGCCUGAAAGUGGGGAUAAAGAAAGAAAGAAAGUGAAGUCACUCAGUUGUGUCCAACUCUUUGCGACCCCAUGGACUGUAUCCCACCAGGCUCCUCCG